rnacentral:rRNA from 1 species
UACGAAGGGGGCUAGCGUUGCUCGGAAUCACUGGGCGUAAAGGGUGCGUAGGCGGGUCUUUAAGUCAGGGGUGAAAUCCCGGGGCUCAACCUCGGAACUGCCUUUGAUACUGCGAAUCUUGAGUCCGAUAGAGGUGGGUGGAAUUCCUAGUGUAGAGGUGAAAUUCGUAGAUAUUAGGAAGAACACCAGUGGCGAAGGCGGCCCACUGGAUCGGUACUGACGCUGAGGUGCGAAAGCGUGGGGAGCAAACAGG